rnacentral:rRNA from 1 species
AGAUUGAACGCUGGCGGCAGGCCUAACACAUGCAAGUCGAGCGGUAGAGAGGUGCUUGCACCUCUUGAGAGCGGCGGACGGGUGAGUAAUGCCUAGGAAUCUGCCUAGUGGUGGGGGAUAACGUUCGGAAACGGACGCUAAUACCGCAUACGUCCUACGGGAGAAAGCGGGGGACCUUCGGGCCUCGCGCCAUUAGAUGAGCCUAGGUCGGAUUAGCUAGGUUGGUGAGGUAAUGGCUCACCAAGGCGACGAUCCGUAACUGGUCUGAGAGGAUGAUCAGUCACACUGGAACUGACGACACGGU